rnacentral:miRNA from 1 species
CUUCCAGCCGGCAAGGUACAAGUACCUUGUUGACUGGAAGGGUGUCCUUCCAGUCGACGAGGUACUUGUACCUCGUCGACCAGAAG